AGCUGUCAGCCUCACCUGGGGACAGGUCUCCCUGCUCUGAAGCUGGGCAUCUUCCUGAAGGCGUCCUGGUUCCCGGGCUCCUUCUUCAGAACCUGAUGGACACCAUCGGGUAUCUACUUGUCUUCGACAUCUUCAACCCAUAUACCCCAACCCACCCUCACCGCGACUAAGAUCAGCCUCCCCACCCCCAACUCUGGUAACAACGGAGAAGGCCCUUGAGAAUAUGAUCCUGGCUUCCCUGAUGUCCCUUGAGGACUUCACUCUGUGGCUCACACCUCCUACUUCCAGGCCCUACCUAUUCUCCAGAACACGGAAGAAGUGCCUGAGCUCCUAAAGAAACCUGAC
ensembl:lncRNA